GGUAACGCGCUGGCGCGGGGCGGGGUAAGACGGAGGGGGUAAGCGCUAUCCAGAUUAAUGGGGGUGAAAGGGGGCGUAGGUGGGUUGGUAAGUCAGAGGUGAAAGCUCCGGGCUUAACUCGGAAACUGCCGUUGAAACUAUCAGGCUUGAAGACUGAAGAGGUAAGCGGAAUAUGUCAUGUAGCGGUGGAAUGCUUAGAUAUGACAUAGAACACCGAUAGCGGAGGCAGCUUGCUACACAGUCAUUGACACUGAGGCGCGAAAGCGUGGGGAUCAAACAGGAUUAGAUACCCCAGUAGUC
rnacentral:rRNA from 1 species